AUACGGGGGGUGCUAGCGUUAUUCGGAAUCAUUGGGCGUAAAGGGCGCGUAGGCGGUCUUUUAAGUCAGAUGUGAAAGCCCUCGGCUUAACCGAGGAAGUGCAUUUGAUACUAAGAGACUUGAGUAUGGGAGAGGGAAGCGGAAUUCCUGGUGUAGCGGUGAAAUGCGUAGAUAUCAGGAGGAACACCGGUGGCGAAGGCGGCUUCCUGGACCAAUACUGACGCUGAGGCGCGAAGGCGUGGGGAGC
rnacentral:rRNA from 1 species